rnacentral:rRNA from 1 species
AGAGCGAACGCUGGCGGCAGGCCUAACACAUGCAAGUCGAACGGAUCCUUCGGGAUUAGUGGCGGACGGGUGAGUAACACGUGGGAACGUGCCUUUUGGUUCGGAACAACUCAGGGAAACUUGAGCUAAUACCGGAUAAGCCUUUCGAGGGAAAGAUUUAUCGCCAUUAGAGCGGCCCGCGUAGGAUUAGCUAGUUGGUGGGGUAAAGGCCCACCAAGGCUACGAUCCUUAACUGGUCUGAGAGGAUGAUCAGCCACAUUGGGACUGAGACACGGCCCAAACUCCUACGGGAGGCAGCAGUGGGAAUCUUGCGCAAUGGGCGAAAGCCUGACGCAGCCAUGCCGCGUGAAUGAUGAAGGUCUUAGGAUUAGUAAAUUCUUUCACCGAGGACGAUAAUGACGGUACUCGGAAGAAGAACGCCCCGACGUAACCUUCGUGCCAGCAGCCGAC